GGUUAAGUGACUAAGCGUACACGGUGGAUGCCUUGGCAGUCAGAGGCGAUGAAGGACGUAGUAACUUGCGAUAAGCGUAGAUGAGGCAGUAACAGCCACUUGAGUCUACGAUUUCCGAAUGGGGAAACCCACUGGCAUAAGCCAGUAUCAUUGAGUGAAUACAUAGCUCAAUGAAGCGAACCGGGAGAACUGAAACAUCUAAGUACCCCGAGGAAAAGAAAUCAACCGAGAUUCCGAAAGUAGCGGCGAGCGAAAUUGGAUUAGCCCUUAAGCUUUACAUGUGUUAGACGAACGGUCUGGAAAGUCCGACGAUACAGGGUGAUAGUCCCGUAGUUGACGAUGCAUGUUCAGUGAAAUCGAGUAGGGCGGGACACGUGUUAUCCUGUCUGAAUAUGGGGGGACCAUCCUCCAAGGCUAAAUACUCCUGACUGACCGAUAGUGAACCAGUACCGUGAGGGAAAGGCGAAAAGAACCCCUGUGAGGGGAGUGAAAUAGAACCUGAAACCGUGUACGUACAAGCAGUAGGAGCACCUUCGUGGUGUGACUGCGUACCUUUUGUAUAAUGGGUCAGCGACUUAUAUUCAGUGGCAAGGUUAACCAUCUAGGGGAGCCGUAGGGAAACCGAGUCUUAACUGGGCGCCAUAGUCUCUGGAUAUAGACCCGAAACCGAGUGAUCUAGCCAUGGGCAGGUUGAAGGUUGAGUAACAUCAACUGGAGGACCGAACCGACUAAUGUUGAAAAAUUAGCGGAUGACUUGUGGCUAGGGGUGAAAGGCCAAUCAAACUCGGAGAUAGCUGGUUCUCCCCGAAAGCUAUUUAGGUAGCGCCUCGGACGAAUACUACUGGGGGUAGAGCACUGUUAAGGCUAGGGGGUCAUCCCGACUUACCAACCCUUUGCAAACUCCGAAUACCAGUAAGUACUAUCCGGGAGACACACGGCGGGUGCUAACGUCCGUCGUGGAGAGGGAAACAACCCAGACCGCCAGCUAAGGUCCCAAAUUACAGCUAAGUGGGAAACGAUGUGGGAAGGCUUAGACAGCUAGGAUGUUGGCUUAGAAGCAGCCAUCAUUUAAAGAAAGCGUAAUAGCUCACUAGUCGAGUCGGCCUGCGCGGAAGAUGUAACGGGGCUAAGUUGUAAA
rnacentral:rRNA from 1 species